rnacentral:sRNA from 1 species
AGGACAUGUCCAAAUACAAACCUCACAUUCUGCUGUCCCAAGAGAACACACAGAUUAGAGACUUGCAACAGGAAAACAGAGAGCUGUGGAUUUCCUUGGAGGAACACCAGGAUGCUUUGGAACUCAUCAUGAGCAAAUAUCGGAAACAGAUGUUACAGUUAAUGGUUGCUAAAAAAGCGGUGGAUGCUGAACCAGUCCUGAAAGCUCACCAGUCUCACUCUGCACUUGAAAAUAAGGAACUUCGAGAAUUAUUGUCCAUCAGCAGUGAGUCUCUUCAAGCCAGAAAGGAAAACUCAAUGGACACUGCUUCCCAAGCCAUCAAAUAACUGAACUCUGAAUGAUGGCUGGAGAUUGUCUAUCAAGGAAGGAAGUUACUGUCUUCCCAUUCAAGUACUGUCCAUUAAGUGUCUUGCCUCAGAUUUGAUUUAAUCUUAAUUAAAGGUAUCAGGUGGCAA